GCCAGGUGUGGUAACGCACACCUGUAGUCCCAGCUACCCAAGAGGCUGAGGCAGGAGGAUCCCUUGAGCCCAGGAGUUUGAGACUGCACUGAGCCAUGAUGGCACCAGUGGGCUCCAGCAUGGGUGACAAAGUGAGAUCCUGUCUCAA
ensembl:misc_RNA Metazoa_SRP Metazoan signal recognition particle RNA